rnacentral:rRNA from 1 species
AAACUCAAAGGAAUUGACGGGGAGCACCACAACGGGUGGAGCUUGCGGUUUAAUUGGAUUCAACGCCGGAAAUCUUACCGGGACCGACAGCAAUAUGAAGGCCAGGCUGAAGACUUUGCCGGAUUAGCUGAGAGGUGGUGCAUGGCCGUCGUCAGUUCGUACUGUGAAGCAUCCUGUUAAGUCAGGCAACGAGCGAGACCCACGCCCACAGUUGCCAGCGUACUCUCCGGAGUGACGGGUACACUGUGGGGACCGCCGCUGCUAAAGCGGAGGAAGGAAUGGGCAACGGUAGGUCAGUAUGCCCCGAAUAUCCCGGGCUACACGCGAGCUACAAUGGUUGGUACAAUGGGUAUCUACCCCGAAAGGGGACGGAAAUCUCCUAAAACCAAUCUUAGUUCGGAUUGAGGGCUGCAACUCGCCCUCAUGAAGCUGGAAUCCGUAGUAAUCGCGUUUCAACAGAACGCGGUGAAUACCGUCCCUGCUCCUU